rnacentral:rRNA from 1 species
ACGGGAGGCAGCAGUGGGGGAUAUUGCACAAUGGGGGAAACCCUGAUGCAGCGACGCCGCGUGAGUGAAGAAGUAUUUCGGUAUGUAAAGCUCUAUCAGCAGGAAAGAUAAUGACGGUACCUGACUAAGAAGCACCGGCUAAAUACGUGCCAGCAGCCGCGGUAAUACGUAUGGUGCAAGCGUUAUCCGGAUUUACUGGGUGUAAAGGGAGCGCAGACGGCAUAGCAAGCCAGAUGUGAAAGGUGGGGGCUCAACCCCCAAACUGCAUUUGGAACUGUUAAGCUAGAGUGUCGGAGAGGUAAGUGGAAUUCCUAGUGUAGCGGUGAAAUGCGUAGAUAUUAGGAGGAACACCAGUGGCGAAGGCGGCUUACUGGACGAUAACUGACGUUGAGGCUCGAAAGCGUGGGGAGCAAACAGGAUUAGAUACCCUGGUA